AUUGAACGCUGGCGGCAGGCCUAACACAUGCAAGUCGAGCGGAUGAAGGGAGCUUGCUCCUGGAUUCAGCGGCGGACGGGUGAGUAAUGCCUAGGAAUCUGCCUGGUCGUGGGGGAUAACGUCCGGAAACGGGCGCUAAUACCGCAUACGUCCUGAGGGAGAAAGUGGGGGAUCUUCGGACCUCACGCUAUCAGAUGAGCCUAGGUCGGAUUAGCUAGUUGGUGGGGUAAAGGCCUACCAAGGCGACGAUCCGUAACUGGUCUGAGAGGAUGAUCAGUCACACUGGAACUGAGACACGGUCCAGACUCCUACGGGAGGCAGCAGUGGGGAAUAUUGGACAAUGGGCGAAAGCCUGAUCCAGCCAUGCCGCGUGUGUGAAGAAGGUCUUCGGAUUGUAAAGCACUGUAAGUUGGGAGGAAGGGCAGUAAGUUAAUACCUGGCUGUUUUGACGUUACCAACAGAAUAAGCACCGGCUAACUUCGUG
rnacentral:rRNA from 1 species